rnacentral:rRNA from 1 species
ANNGUAAUAGACAGUUAAGCAAUAUUUAUAAAUCAUUGGAUCUUUAGUACAGGAGUAAAAUCUAAAUACUAAAAGUUACACCUGACAUGGUUGUUUAUGGUGCUGAAUCUGUGAUAGCUUUAAGGGAAACUGGGAUUGGAUACCCCAUUAUUUUUAGCUGUAAAUAUAGUUUGAGCUUACCGGAGUACUACGAAUAAAAAGUUUAAAACUCAAAGGGCUUGGCGGUGUUUUAGACCUCUCAGGGGAACCUGUCUCGUAAUCGACAAUCCACGUUAGACCUAACCUUCCAUAGUAGCUCAGCCUGUAUACCGUCGUCGUCAGGUAACUUCUAAAAAUAUAGCAGUUAGCUCGAGAAUUUCUUUAUUAAGACGUCAGAUCAAGGUGCAGCCAAUAAGAAGGUGAGGAUGGGUUACAAUUACAUAUUCGUAAUCACGGAAAGAGACUUGAAAUAAGUGUCUUAAAGGAGGACUUGAAAGUAAUUUUGAUUAUAUAAGUAAAAUGAAUGCGGCUCUGAAACGUG